AUGAACACUACAUUCACUGACAAUGUGACUGCUGCCACAACAUUGACUGAGAGCACCACAUUAAAUGACAGUGUGACAGUGACUACCCCUAUGAUUCUCAGCACCACUUCCACAGGCUGCUCUUCCCUGAACACCUCCACCUGCGAGGUCUGUGUCCCAGGCUCUUACUCUAACAACGACAGCCUGCAGUGCUCCUGCUGCCCUGGUCCAGGGAUGUGUCAGUUCACAGCGGCUUGCCUCCCAUGUUCCCUAGGGUUCUUUCAGCCUCUGACUGGACAACAGCAAUGUUUGCCCUGUAGCCAGGGUUUCUACACCAACAUCUCCGGCAGCCAUGUGUGUCGAGCCUGUCACCCAGGAUCAUACAGCAACAGCACUGGUUCCAACUCCUGUCAAAACUGUUCUGCAGCUCCUCCAGUUGUGCUCAGUGCGAGAUCUGUCCUGCCGGUACCGAGUCCCUACAGGCUGCAGCCAAGGAGUGUACACCUUGUCGUCCUGGCAUGCACAAGCCCCCCCUUCAGAACAUGUGUCAAAUCUGCAGCAGUGGCUUCUUCCAAAUCCACUGGGGUCAGGAGACAUGUAACCUCUGCCCCGAAAACCACUACUGCCCGGUCAGUAUCCCCAGGUCGUGUUCAGUAUAAAACCUCCCGGUAA
rnacentral:lncRNA from 1 species